rnacentral:rRNA from 1 species
CUCAGGAUGAACGCUAGCGGCAGGCUUAACACAUGCAAGUCGAGGGGCAGCGAGGAUAGCAAUAUCUGUCGGCGACCGGCGGAAGGGUGAGUAACGCGUGAGCAACAUGCCCGCAUCAGGGGGAUAGUCACUGGAAACGGUGCGUAAUACCCCCGUAACAUCGUGUGAGGCAUCUCAUAUGGUUGAAAGAUUGAUCGGAUGCGGAUUGGCUCGCGUGCCAUUAGGUAGACGGCGGGGUAACGGCCCACCGUGCCGACGAUGGCUAGGGGUUCUGAGAGGAAGGUCCCCCACAUUGGAACUGAGACACGGUCCAGACUCCUACGGGAGGCAGCAGUGAGGAAUAUUGGACAAUGGCCGGGAGGCUGAUCCAGCCAUGCCGCGUGAAUGGAGUAAGGCCCUAUGGGUCGUAAACAUUCUUUUCUCGGGGGGCAAUAAGGGCCACGUGCUGGUCCGAUGAGAGUACCCGGGGAAUAAGCAUCGGCUAACUCCGUGCCAGCCGCAGC